AUUGAACGCUGGCGGCAGGCUUAACACAUGCAAGUCGAGCGGUAGCACAGGGGAGCUUGCUCCCUGGGUGACGAGCGGCGGACGGGUGAGUAAUGUCUGGGAAACUGCCUGAUGGAGGGGGAUAACUACUGGAAACGGUAGCUAAUACCGCAUAACGUCGCAAGACCAAAGAGGGGGACCUUCGGGCCUCUUGCCAUCAGAUGUGCCCAGAUGGGAUUAGCUAGUAGGUGGGGUAAUGGCUCACCUAGGCGACGAUCCCUAGCUGGUCUGAGAGGAUGACCAGCCACACUGGAACUGAGACGCGGUCCAGACUCCUAAGGGAGGCAGCAGUGGGGAAUAUUGCACAAUGGGCGCAAGCCUGAUGCAGCCAUGCCGCGUGUGUGAAGAAGGCCUUCGGGUUGUAAAGCACUUUCAGCGAGGAGGAAGGUGGUGAGCUUAAUACGUUCAUCAAUUGACGUUACUCGCAGAAGAAGCACCGGCUAACUCCGUG
rnacentral:rRNA from 1 species